GAUGAACGCUGGCGGCGUGCUUAACACAUGCAAGUCGAACGAAGCACUUUAUUUGAUUUCCUUCGGGACUGAUUAUUUUGUGACUGAGUGGCGGACGGGUGAGUAACGCGUGGGUAACCUGCCUUGUACAGGGGGAUAACAGUUGGAAACGGCUGCUAAUACCGCAUAAGCGCACAGCAUCGCAUGAUGCAGUGUGAAAAACUCCGGUGGUAUAAGAUGGACCCGCGUUGGAUUAGCUAGUUGGUGAGGUAACGGCCCACCAAGGCGACGAUCCAUAGCCGACCUGAGAGGGGGACCGGCCACAUUGGGACUGAGACACGGCCCAAACUCCUACGGGAGGCAGCAGUGGGGAAUAUUGAACAAUGGGCGAAAGCCUGAUGCAGCGACGCCGCGUGAGCGAAGAAGUAUUUCGGUAUGUAAAGCUCUAUCAGCAGGGAAGAUAAUGACGGUACCUGACUAAGAAGCACCGGCUAAAUACGUG
rnacentral:rRNA from 1 species